rnacentral:rRNA from 1 species
CUACGGGAGGCAGCAGUGGGGAAUUUUGGACAAUGGGCGCAAGCCUGAUCCAGCCAUGCCGCGUGCGGGAAGAAGGCCUUCGGGUUGUAAACCGCUUUUGUCAGGGAAGAAAAGGUUCUGGAUAAUACCUGGGACUCAUGACGGUACCUGAAGAAUAAGCACCGGCUAACUACGUGCCAGCAGCCGCGGUAAUACGUAGGGUGCAAGCGUUAAUCGGAAUUACUGGGCGUAAAGCGUGCGCAGGCGGUUAUGCAAGACAGAGGUGAAAUCCCCGGGCUCAACCUGGGAACUGCCUUUGUGACUGCAUAGCUAGAGUACGGUAGAGGGGGAUGGAAUUCCGCGUGUAGCAGUGAAAUGCGUAGAUAUGCGGAGGAACACCGAUGGCGAAGGCAAUCCCCUGGACCUGUACUGACGCUCAUGCACGAAAGCGUGGGGAGCAAACAGGAUUAGAUACCCCCGU